rnacentral:misc_RNA from 1 species
UUUCCGUAGGUGAACCUGCGGAAGGAUCAUUAUAGUAUAGCCGAGGUGCGAGGGCUGUCGCUGACCCGAAAGGUCGUGCACGCCCGAGUGCCCUCACACACAUCCAUCUCACCCCUAUGUGCACCACCGCGUGGGUCCCCCUUUGGCUUGUUCGGAGGGGGGCUUACGUUUUCACACAAACUUUGUAUGCAGUGUAGAAUGUAUUUUUUGUUUUUGCGAUCACGCAAUCAAUACAACUUUCAACAACGGAUCUCUUGGCUCUC